rnacentral:lncRNA from 1 species
AUGAAGCAUAAACAAACUGACAAAUAUUGUUUAAAUUUAACACUAAAAUUCGAUGUGUAUGUCUCAGUUAUUGUUGUUGUCAUUCUUAUUUUCAGUCAGGGAGAUGGUUCCAGGAGAAGAAAAGAAAGUCAGUUGCUUUCUGAGAUCAGGUGGGAAGUUUAUCCUGUCAACUCCACCUUUAGAGUGCUAGUCUCUGGAGCCACAAGGACUGAAACUCUGCUUCAGAGACCCACCACUGAUGACAACCAUCAGGCUCAGGAACUGAAAAGAAAUGGUGCAAAUGUGGCCGAGGGACUUGGGUUUUACAUUUAUUGCCGAGUCUGGUUUUCUUGAGUUUCAGGGUAAAAAGCAAAAGGAACUCUGGCAACUGGUGAUCUAUAAACUUAGCAAGCCUCAGGACUUAGUCUAUCUCACACAUGGAAAAUAACUCCCGAGCUCUCCCUCGCCACCCCCACCUC